GACGAACGCUGGCGGCGUGCUUAACACAUGCAAGUCGAACGAAGAGCGAUGGAAGCUUGCUUCUAUCAAUCUUAGUGGCGAACGGGUGAGUAACGCGUAAUCAACCUGCCCUUCAGAGGGGGACAACAGUUGGAAACGACUGCUAAUACCGCAUACGAUCUAAUCUCGGCAUCGAGGAUAGAUGAAAGGUGGCCUCUACAUGUAAGCUAUCACUGAAGGAGGGGAUUGCGUCUGAUUAGCUAGUUGGAGGGGUAACGGCCCACCAAGGCGAUGAUCAGUAGCCGGUCUGCGAGGAUGAACGGCCACAUUGGGACUGAGACACGGCCCAGACUCCUACGGGAGGCAGCAGUGGGGAAUCUUCCGCAAUGGACGAAAGUCUGACGGAGCAACGCCGCGUGAGUGAUGACGGCCUUCGGGUUGUAAAGCUCUGUUAAUCGGGACGAAAGGCCUUCUUGCGAAUAGGGAGAAGGAUUGACGGUACCGGAAUAGAAAGCCACGGCUAACUACGUG
rnacentral:rRNA from 1 species